UUGUGAUGAAAGAGGAAGCAGUGUGUUUGCUGCACAGCUGGGCUCUGCACCGGGUUUGGUUUCACUUUAGACACGUUAAGCCUCAGCUUGAAAUAUCCACACGUGUAAUUUUGACAGAAGCAAAGUGGAUGCAUCAAAGUUGGUUUGUGAAGAUACUGUGGAUACGAACAUCGGAUUUAUUUGGCAAAUUUAAUAUGAGUAUCGAUGGCCUGCGGGAGCAGACCAGCAACUCCAUCCACUCCAGCCAGUGUUGACAACAUAUUUCCAAGAUGUCAUGUCGCUGUAAUGCUUUGUAGAUUUUCUGUAGCUAUGCAGAGAGGAGUGAGAGCCUUGGUUACUCAUGCGACCAGCUGAUUGCGCUGAGUAAACCAGUGCUGCUGCCUGGUGAGAGAUCCAAAAUCCCAAAGGAGCUGCAGAGGAGAUGCCGGGGAUGCAGAGCUGGAACUAUGUGCAGACUGAAGAAGAGGAAAUAUUAACCUUCAGUUUCAGCGGUGAUCAUGGUGAACGUGAGGUCGUUGGGAAAUAAGAUGAAUGAGCACAGCGCGCUGAUUAAGACCCAGAGGGGACACCAUGAGUGUAGCUUGUUGUGUUUCACGGAGACAUGGCUGCAUUCGGAUUUCGCAACCACAGCGCGGUGUUACCGUGCUGAACUAUUGUUUGGGCGAACAGGGACAAUAUAAAGAACAGAAAGAAGAAGGGAGGAGGGAUUGCAUUGCAUGUGAGUGAAAGAUGGUGAAAUUCCGGACAUAUUAAUGCAAAGGAGCGUCUUUGUAGCCCGGUCAUUGAGCUGCUAGCAUUGGGAAUGCGGCCAUAUUAUUUGCAGAGAGAGUUCACGACCACCAUCGCUGAGACAGUGCAAAGUCUGCUACAGGAGGAAUGUGGAGGACAGACUCCAACAUAGUAAUGUGAGGGAUAACUCAUAACUGGGUUCGAGGUGAGAGACAGACAGCCAGGAGGCAGCAUGGAGAGGGCAAAUGAGCUAAAUUUGUUCUUCAACAGGUUCAGGUUGAACAGCCCUCAUCUGUACCCCCCAACCACACUUCCAGACUUCCACACAGCCUCAGUGCCCCAAAUGCGUCUGCCCUCCCCCACUCUAAUCAUCUUCACACUGUACACCUCAAACUUUUGGUACAGAGUCGUGCCACUUGCCAAAGUUGGGUGUAUAAGGGAUAGGGGGUUGAGGUGAGUACAAAGUGCUGGUGGACAGUCUUGUGGAGUGGGCUGGUAAAAAGCAUCUGCUUCUGAAUGUGGCCAUGUCCAGAGAGAGAUGGUAGUCGACUUCAGGAGGAAGUGGAGGGUUUCACAGCCACCGCGUAUUCUGGAAGAGGAUGUUGGCACAGGGGAGGAUUACAAGUACCUGGGCGUCCACAUCGACAACGGAUUGCAAAACCAACACUGAUGCUAUGUAGUACAAGAAAGGGAAGAGCAGACUCUAUUUCCUGAGGAAGCUGAGCUCUUCCAUGUUUACCAGUGAAAUAUACUUUGCUGUGGUCUGCAGCAUCAGAGCCGGUGACACCAACAGACUUAACAACCAGACUCUUUUGAAAGGGCCAACAGCAAUAGGAUUGUACAACUUCUCACCUCUAUCAAACGGUGCUGUAUAGCUUCUGUCCACAUCCAAACUCUCUGAUUACUCCUGCAAUAACUGUGAGGAGUAAUCAAUAUUUUUUUUUUAUAUUCAUAUAUAUUUCU